rnacentral:rRNA from 1 species
GUUACCAGGUCUUGACAUCCCGAUGCUAUUCUAGAGAUAGAAGUAACUUCGGUACAUCGGUGACAGGUGGUGCAUGGUUGUCGUCAGCUCGUGUCGUGAGAUGUUGGGUUAAGUCCCGCAACGAGCGCAACCCCUAUUGUUAGUUGCCAUCAUUCAGUUGGGCACUCUAGCGAGACUGCCGGUAAUAAACCGGAGGAAGGUGGGGAUGACGUCAAAUCAUCAUGCCCCUUAUGACCUGGGCUACACACGUGCUACAAUGGUUGGUACAACGAGUUGCGAGUCGGUGACGGCGAGCUAAUCUCUUAAAGCCAAUCUCAGUUCGGAUUGUAGGCUGCAACUCGCCUACAUGAAGUCGGAAUCGCUAGUAAUCGCGGAUCAGCACGCCGCGGUGAAUACGUUCCCGGGCCUU